AGCGAACGCUGGCGGCAGGCCUAACACAUGCAAGUCGAACGAACCCUUCGGGGUUAGUGACGGACGGGUGAGUAACACGUGGGAACGUGCCUUUAGGUUCGGAAUAACUCAGGGAAACUUGUGCUAAUACCGAAUGUGCCCUUCGGGGGAAAGACUUAUCGCCUUUAGAGCGGCCCGCGUCUGAUUAGCUAGUUGGUGAGGUAAUGGCUCACCAAGGCUACGAUCAGUAGCUGGUCUGAGAGGAUGACCAGCCACAUUGGGACUGAGACACGGCCCAAACUCCUACGGGAGGCAGCAGUGGGGAAUCUUGCGCAAUGGGCGAAAGCCUGACGCAGCCAUGCCGCGUGGAUGAUGAAGGUCUUAGGAUUGUAAAAUCCUUUCACCGGUGAAGAUAAUGACUGUAGCCGGAGAAGAAGCCCCGGCUAACUUCGUGCCAGCAGCCGCCGUAAAAC
rnacentral:rRNA from 1 species